rnacentral:pre_miRNA from 14 species
CGAAGGGAUGCAGCAGCAAUUCAUGUUUUGGAGUAUUGCCAAGGUUCAAAACAUGAAGCGCUGCAACACCCCUUCGUGGGAAA